rnacentral:rRNA from 1 species
AACGAACGCUGGCGGCAUGCCUAACACAUGCAAGUCGAACGAAGUCUUCGGACUUAGUGGCGCACGGGUGCGUAACGCGUGGGAAUCUGCCCUUGGGUGCGGGAAUAACUUCUCGAAAGGGAUGCUAAUACCGCAUAAUGUCGUAAGACCAAAGAUUUAUCGCCCAAGGAUGAGCCCCGCGUAAGAUUAGCUAGUUGGUGGGGUAAAAGCCUACCAAGGCGACGAUCUUUAGCUGGUCUGAGAGGAUGAUCAGCCACACUGGGACUGAGACACGGCCCCAGACUCCUACGGGAGGGCAACAGUGGGGAAUAUUGGACAAUGGGCGAAAGCCUGAUCCAGCAAUGCCGCGUGAGUGAUGAAGGCCCUAGGGUUGUAAAGCUCUUUUACCAGGGAUGAUAAUGACAGUACCUGGAGAAUAAGACUCCGGCUAACUCCGUAGCCAGCAGCCGCGGUAA